rnacentral:lncRNA from 1 species
AAGAAUUUACCCAGCACCCUAGGAUGCAAGUGCUGCACAGCCUUUGAGCUGGAAAACAGGAGGUUAUGCGGCUCGGGGUAACAACAAAGCCUUCUGAAUGCCAUCUCUAAGGAGUCUUGACAAGUGCUGGGAGGGCCGAACCUUGAGUUUACCUGGAGCGCUGCUGGAACUCUAUUCCUUCCAAGCUCUCCACCUUGCUCUCGGACUCACGGGCAUCUUCGUCCAGGGCCUCUUCAUCCUCCCCCUCACUGUCGUCCGCGCCAAACGGAAAGCUCUGGUGGCCAAGGGGAGACAACAGGGACAGGGUGGAGUUGCUGCAGCUCAGAGACGGCGGCGACAAGCACUCGGUCAGCGCCACAUCCUCCAGCCCUGGAUCCCCGGAAUCCACUAAGAGGUCGACGACAAAACUCGAGGAGGGCCGGAAGCCCGGCUUGCAGCGGGCGAGGUAACGGGUGCACGGAGCCGGAGAGGCAGCCCGCCACGGCCCAGCGGCCCGCAUCAGGCCCGCCAAGUUCAAACGGCCCGAGCAAGGCCGAAGGCGCGUUCUCCCAGCAGGCUCCGCGCGCGCCGUCCGACCAAUCAGCGCCAGCUUUAGGCCGUGUUGUCAUAGCGACGCUUGUAGCCCGCAAGGGGCUUUGUCUGGGCUGGAAGAGCUUGGCUUCCUCAGUCCAGGUAGGAAGGUUCCUGACUGACAGCUUCAGCUUGGCGUCUCCCCGAGUCGUCCGCCCAUUCCUGAUGCUGUCCCGAGUACUGUGUUUGCUGUGGUGUUGAAGGCCAUUUGGUGCACGACACUUAUCAGUGUCACUAAAGCGGAUCCUUUAAAAGGAAAAGGCAGAAGCCUGAAGCCAUGGUUAUUCCCCCUUCCUCAUAAAAGCUCAGGAUCACUAAAAAAAAAAAAAAAUCUAGCACUCGUGAUUGAAUUUUUUAGUUCAUUUAUGUUGUUGUUUUUUUUGUUUUUGUUUGUCUAAGGGAGAGAACUUUAUCCUCUGUGGGCAUAGUUUCUCACUGUAUGGGCAGCAUCUGUCAACAUAAUCAGUUCCCCGACCCCCAGUCGCCAAGGCAGGGUUUCUCUGUAUAGCCCUGGCUGUCCUGGAACUCACUAUGUAGACCAGGCUUACCUCAAACUUAGAAAUCCGCCUGCCUCUGCCUCCCAAGUGCUGGGAUUAAAGGCAUGAGCCACCGCUGCCCUGCAACACAAUCGGUUUUAUCAGGUUGUGUUAACUUUCUAGUCUUCCAAAGCAUUUGUGUCCACUCUCCAGCGUGUCCAUACCAGAGCAGCAAAUCAUGAGCCAACCUUAAAAUCCAUCGUUCUUUUUAAAAUGAAAUUUUGAACUGUGAUGCAAUAGGCAUUUUUCUAGGACUUCUUGGCACUCUCCUUUUAGGGGCCGAGGAUCUAACUGAAGCCGGCAAGGAAAAGAUGGCAGAUACUGAAAGUGAGCUGCUUAUUCAUGCUCACAAAACUGCAUACAAAAACGCAGCUUUUGGCUAAUGUACAUUACAUUAGUGUAAGAAUCACAAGUGAAAUGAGAGUAUCUGUAGAAUUUUCAUAGCGCAGUUAGAUAUGUUAGAAAUACUAGCAACCAAAAGCGAAGCAAAGUGACUAUAAAUGACAUGCUAGCACUAUUUUGUUCUUUUUUUUUUCCAGUAAAAACAAUGGCAUUGGAAGAAAACUGUACGAUGAACUAAGAAACGUGAUUUAGUAGGCUUAUGGUUGUGACUUACUCCAGUUAUUCAGUAUUGGCAUAUCUGGUUAAGAUAUUUUGUCAGAAAACACCCUUGGUGUCAGUAACUCAGAGACAUUGGACUACCUUAUACCUUCAAAAAGACAGGAACUUGAAAAAUGAUCCUCCAUUCCCCCAAAAAAUAACCUAAAGGUUUUGGGGAAGGGAAUGGAGCUGGCUUUGAACCAGUAGUUUUCCUCUUAAUAUUCUUACAUAGGCUAUUUAACUGCAAUGAUCUUAAUUUAAUCCUCCCCAAAAUAAUCUACCCUGCUAUCAUAGUCAUUCAUUAAUCCUCAGCUCCACUCAGGACCUGACAUAUCUUGAACUCUGUCACUAUCCCACAUUGAGUUCCCCAUCAUAAACCUCUCAGUGUAGGAAUGUUAAAUCAUAUAGUUUCCUAACCCUCUUCAUGUUUUAUUAAAGUGUUCUUGAUACUCUAGGAUCAGUGUGUUCACCAAGAGCAUUAAGCCUUAAAGGCUACAAGGCAGUUAAAUGGCCUGCUGUGGCUGUUUGAAUGUGGUCUGUUUUUACAGUACUAUUCAUUACUUGGACUGAGACAAUAGUCAAGAUGGAUAGGAUUAUACAAAUGUAUACAUUAACUCUCCCCUUAAGUUACAGGGUGUGGACCUAACAGUAUCCUCUUAAUACUCAUUUUCAAUCUAAUAAUAUGAGGGUUUUUUUUUAAUUGGCGUGGAAAAUCCCUGCAAGAGUGACUUUUGCUUAAAAAAUAUUUAACUAUAUUACAAAACUAAUUCCUUUGCCAGUAAUCCUUAUGGCAAUUUUAUGACAUGGGUUCAAAAAUGUCUUCCUGCACAUACUUAAGUAUUAACAUAUGAAAUAUGUCUCAGCUUGCGUCAAAAUAACGCAAGAGGCAGAAGGACUGAAGGGGCUUAGUGAAUGUGGUGAAGAUGAAAGGCUCAUUGUGUGCCGUGGACACUUGUGAAAGGUGUAAGUGAGGUAAUUACACCGUGCUUUUUGCUAUAAAAGUUUCCAACAUUCCAAGUUUAACAUAAACUCACUACUCUCUCCAGAGCUAAGAUGAAUGGACUAAGCGGUGGGUUGGGAAUGAUUCCGUCAGUAAACUGCCUACCUCGAAGCAUGAGCAGCCGAGUUCCAUUUCCAGCACCUACAUAAAAUUGCAGUGGGGUGGCACAAGCUCAGGCCAGUCAUUCUAGCUAAUCAGAUGGUCUAGCCUAAUCAGUGAGUUUCAGACUAAUGAGAGAACCUGUCCCAAAUGAGGCAGAUAGGCUCCCUGAGGAGGACAAGUUGCCACCUGGCAUGAGCACACCUCCAUACACCCACUCUCAUAAAAUAAUAAACACAGAGAAUUAGCUUCUGGUUUGGUUCGUAAGUGUUUUAAGGAUUUACUGAAAUUUGCUGUGGUUUAUCAAUUGUCUUUUCAUUUGAGAAAUGAGGGUUUUCUUAAGCAUCUAGGAAAGUCACUGCAUGUAGUAUCUUGCAGAUUGUUAAAUUCUUGCCUUCAGUAAAGAUCUAGUGAUUACUAUUCUCUUAAAUAUCACAAUUUGUUUUUUACUAUAUAGUUUAGAUUUGGGAUAAAACUUUACUUCUAAAUUUCAGUAUAGUGUCCUAGACUUUUAUAGAUAGCAUGAAAAUUGUGUUUUCCAGUGGUUAUUUUCAACAUUUCUUUUAAUAUUUGGUAGUUACAAAUUUUAAUUUGACUGUGUGAUACUAAGUACACUCAGUAAUGCAUCGAGCUAUAAAAUAAGAAAUACAAGAUUGCUUUAUAGAAACUCUUGUUUAAAUAUCAGACGUCUAGCACAGUUUACCACAUACUUUACCUAAUAUUCUAUUGUUGUUUUAUUUGGGUUUUUGCUUUGUUUUGUUGGGUGUUUUUGAGACACAAUCUCUCUGUAAAGCUCUAGCUGCUCUGAAACUUACUAUGUAGACCAGGCUGGAGGUGAACUCAAGAGAUCUACCUGUCUCUCCCUACCUCACAACUGCUGGGAUUAAAGGAAUGAACCACC